GUUCGAUGUCAAUAAGCUCAGAGACUCCCCUGCUGUAGUAAUGGGACACACUGGCAUCCUGGCCGCAGGUAGCUUUCCAGAUCCAAUACACUGAUCGCAGCAUGCAGCAGUGAGCUGAACAGAGGAGUUCUUCUUUCUGGUACAUGGAAUCUACCAGAUACAUUUGUAACCAGAGCUCCUGUUCUCCAGUACCCAUGAGCCUCACUUUUAGGUUGUCAAGGGACCGAGAAAAAAUUUUUGCACAAAGAUGUUGUGAUACUUGCUUUAGAAGCGAAGCUUGAAUCUGGAGAAGCUGUAAAGAAAACCUGCUCUUUCUUCUGGAAAAGGAUGAAUAAGUGUGGACAUCCAUUUUGGGUAAAAUAUAAAAUGAUUUUCUUAGAUAUAUUACUGAAGAUAAAAGAAAUGUUAUAGAAGGUUCCAAAAUAAACAGAAAUGAAAACUCGUGUCCA
rnacentral:lncRNA from 1 species